rnacentral:rRNA from 1 species
CCCUUAGAUGUUCGGGGCCGCACGCGCGCUACACUGAAGGACUCAGCGUGUCUCUCCCCCUAUCCCGAAAGGGAUGGGCAACCCGUUGAACCUCCUUCGUGCUAGGGAUUGGGGUUUGCAAUUAUCCCCCAUGAACGAGGAAUUCCUAGUAAACGCAAGUCAUCAACUUGCAUUGAUUACGUCCCUGCCCUUUGUACACACCGCCCGUCGCACCUACCGAUUGAAUGGCCCGGUGAAGUCUUCGGACUGGAGCUGACUCGUUAGCUCCAGAAAGUUGAGUAAACCUUACCAUUUAGAGGAAGGUGAAGUCGUAACA